AGCGGAUAGAGAGACUCGAACUCUCACUACCAGUUUGGAAGACUGGCACUCUAACCAUUGAGCUAUAUCCGC
rnacentral:tRNA from 1 species